rnacentral:lncRNA from 1 species
GGCUGGUUAUUGACACAUAUUUGUCUUCAUAACAAAGUAUGUACAUACAACCUCAUAUAAUUGCAGUGGAAUGACGAUGUGACGGGAUAGUUUCAAUUAUUUAAAGUUCUAAAAACAAAAUUAGUAUAACGUCAAAAAUAGCAACAUCGUAAAUAACAUCACAACAAUCUCAUCUGUAUAAGUUCGUAUAUAGAAUGUUUG